AGAUGCAAUUAACUGAACCUUUGGCAAGAAGACCAAAGAGGGUUUAAUAAACCAAUUAACUAAGGCAUCGGUAAGAAGAACAAAGAGGGUAUAAGAAUCAUUGAAGUAUGAAUUGAAAGUUUCCACAAGAAGAACAAAGGGAUGAUUUAAGAACCCAAUGGGCGGAUAAAUUCAAAUUUCGUCAAGAAGAUCAAGGAGGGUUCAAGAAUCCAAUUAACUGACGAAUUGGAAAUUUGGGCAA
rnacentral:lncRNA from 1 species